CGCGUAGGUGGUAGUGUAAGUCUGAGGUGGAAUCCCAGGGCUUAACCCUGGAACUGCCUUGGAAACUGCAUUACUUGAGUCAGUGAGGGGAGGGUAGAAUUCCUGGUGUAGCGGUGAAAUGCGUAGAUAUCAGGAGGAAGGCCUGUGGCGAAGGCGGCCCUCUGGUGCUGGACUGACACUGAGGCGCGGAAGCGUGGGGAGCAAACAGGAUUAGAUACCCUGGUAGUCCACGCCCUAAACGGUGGGCACUAGGUGUAGGGCUCGUAAGGGUUCUGUGCCGAAGGGAAACCAUUAAGUGCCCCGCCUGGGGAGUACGGCCGCAAGGUUGAA
rnacentral:rRNA from 1 species